AGUGAACGCUGGCGGUAGGCCUAACACAUGCAAGUCGAACGGCAGCACAGUAAGAGCUUGCUCUUACGGGUGGCGAGUGGCGGACGGGUGAGGAAUACAUCGGAAUCUACUUUUUCGUGGGGGAUAACGUAGGGGAACUUACGCUAAUACCGCAUACGACCUACGGGUGAAAGCAGGGGAUCUUCGGACCUUGCGCGAUUGAAUGAGCCGAUGUCGGAUUAGCUAGUUGGCGGGGUAAAAGCCCACCAAGGCGACGAUCCGUAGCUGGUCUGAGAGGAUGAUCAGCCACACUGGAACUGAGACACGGUCCAGACUCCUACGGGAGGCAGCAGUGGGGAAUAUUGGACAAUGGGCGCAAGCCUGAUCCAGCCAUACCGCGUGGGUGAAGAAGGCGUUCGGGUUGUAAAGCCCUUUUGUUGGGAAAGAAAAGCAGCAGGUUAAUACCCCGCUGUUCUGACGGUACCCAAAGAAUAAGCACCGGCUAACUUCGUG
rnacentral:rRNA from 1 species